rnacentral:tRNA from 1 species
AGCUCAAUUGGCAGAGCAUCUGAUUUGUAAUCAGAAGGUUGCGGGUUCAAGUCCCAUCACC